rnacentral:lncRNA from 1 species
AAUUUUAUUGCCAACUAUAUUUCCUUUUCAAUUUUAUUUUUGUUUGUUUUGCUUUCCCUUUACUGUUCCUCUCUCUACUUCAAUCUUUUCCUCCAUCUUCUUCAUCCUCCAUCUCUCUCUAUCUCUAAUGCGACUCUGUAGUUUCCUCCAUUGCAAACCAAGCUUCCUUUUCUCUGAGAGCUCCAUCUCUCUUCCUUUCCCACUUAACCCACCAACCAACUCUUUUUCUUUUAAGUUUCUUCUUCUUCUUCCUUUCUACAACAUUGUUUUUUU